rnacentral:rRNA from 1 species
GACGAACGCUGGCGGCGUGCUUAACACAUGCAAGUCGAACGGAAAGGCCCUGCUUUUGUGGGGUGCUCGAGUGGCGAACGGGUGAGUAACACGUGAGUAACCUGCCCUUGACUUUGUGAUAACUUCAGGGGACUCGGGAUAAUACCGGAUAGGAGCUCUUGCUGCAUGGUGGGGGUUGGAAAGAUUCGGCGGUUGGGGAUGGACUCGAGGCGUAUCAGCUUGUUGGUGGGGUAGUGGCUUACCCAGGCUUUGACGGGUAGCCGGCCUGAGAGGGUGACCGGCCACAUUGGGACUGAGGGACGGCCCAGACUGGUACGGGAGGCAGCAGGGGGGAAUAUUGCACAAUCGGCGGAAGCCUGAUGCAGCAGCUCCGCGUGCGGGAUGACUGCGUUCUGGGUGUAAACCGCUUGCGCCUGUGACGAAGCGUGAGUGACGGUAAUGGGAAAAGAAGCACCGGCUAACUACGUG